rnacentral:lncRNA from 1 species
CUGGGUUCUACUGAGCAUCACCAGUAGGAUUUUGAGAAUACUCGGGAUGCAACUGGGAGUGAAAAGUGUUCACUAGCUGCUGAAUUCACUACCUAGAUCAGAUCAGACUGGAAACAAAUGGAGUGUCUGAACAUGGGAUUGAGUCUUCCUUGGAUUAUGAAAAGAGUUGGAUUCAAGGGACAGAACAGGACAUCAAGAUUCCAGUCAUGAGUGUGGGUGCCCACAGCAAGGUAUUGUGGAUCCACUACCAAAAACCUAUUGCAUUAUCCCUAAGUUGAGCUCAGGAGGCCUUGCUUGUCUACAGCUUCAGUCUCAACAUACUCAGUGAAUAACUCAAGCCUGUGAAACUCAGAGCCUUUUAGGAACCAGAGUGGGUAUGAUGAUAAGGAGUUCUAAUAGAGACUUCACAGUGCCUUCAUCUGAACAGCUCACAGUCACUAGUGUGAGAGGACAGUU